AUUGAACGCUGGCGGCAGGCCUAACACAUGCAAGUCGAGCGGAUGAAGGGAGCUUGCUCCUGGAUUCAGCGGCGGACGGGUGAGUAAUGCCUAGGAAUCUGCCUGGUAGUGGGGGAUAACGUCCGGAAACGGGCGCUAAUACCGCAUACGUCCUGAGGGCGAAAGUGGGGGUUCUUCGGACCUCACGCUAUCAUAUGAGCCUAGGUCGGAUUAGCUAGUUGGUGGGGUAAAGGCCUACCAAGGCGACGAUCCGUAACUGGUCUGAGAGGAUGAUCAGUAACACUGGAAGUGAGACACGGAACAGACGACUAAGGGAGGCAGCAGUGGGGAAUAUUGGACAAUGGGCGAAAGCAUGAUACAGCAAAGCCGAGUGUGUGAAGAAGGUCUUCGGAUUGUAAAGCAGUUUAAGGUGGGAGGAAGGGAAGUAAGAUAAUACCUUGAUGUUUUGACGUUACCAACAGAAUAAGCACCGGCUAACUACGUG
rnacentral:rRNA from 1 species